CUAGUAACGGCGAGUGAAGCGGGAAGAGCUCAAAUUUGAAAUCUAGUAGCCUUCGGCUGCUCGAGUUGUAAUCUAUAGAAGUGUUUUCCGUGCUGGCUCAUGUACAAGUCCCUUGGAACAGGGCGUCAUAGAGGGUGAGAAUCCCGUACUUGACAUGAAUCACCAGUGCUCUGUGAUACACUUUCAAAGAGUCGAGUUGUUUGGGAAUGCAGCUCAAAAUGGGUGGUAAAUUCCAUCUAAAGCUAAAUAUUGGCGAGAGACCGAUAGCGAACAAGUACCGUGAGGGAAAGAUGAAAAGCACUUUGGAAAGAGAGUUAAACAGUAUGUGAAAUUGUUAAAAGGGAAACGAUUGAAGUCAAUCAUGUCCUUGGGUCUUACCACCCUUGGAUGGGGUCAACAUCAGUUUUGAUCGGUGGAUAAGGAUAGGAGGAAGGUAGCACUCUCGGGUGAACUUAUAGCCUCCUGUCGCAUACACUGGUUGAGACUGAGGUCUGCUAUUAC
rnacentral:rRNA from 1 species